rnacentral:ncRNA from 1 species
AUCCCUCGAGGUGGUAAAAUUUCGUUGCAACCACGCACCUUCGCGGUCAAAAAGAGAUGCAGGAGAGGCGACGCCUGCCGAGGGAU